rnacentral:rRNA from 1 species
AUUGAACGCUGGCGGCAUGCCUUACACAUGCAAGUCGAACGGCAGCACGGGAGCAAUCCUGGUGGCGAGUGGCGAACGGGUGAGUAAAGUAUCGGAACGUGCCCAGUCGUGGGGGAUAACGUAGCGAAAGUUACGCUAAUACCGCAUACGAUCAAUGGAUGAAAGCGGGGGAUCGCAAGACCUCGCGCGAUUGGAGCGGCCGAUAUCAGAUUAGGUAGUUGGUGGGGUAAAGGCUCACCAAGCCGACGAUCUGUAGCUGGUCUGAGAGGACGACCAGCCACACUGGGACUGAGACACGGCCCAGACUCCUACGGGAGGCAGCAGUGGGGAAUUUUGGACAAUGGGCACAAGCCUGAUCCAGCCAUGCCGCGUGCAGGAUGAAGGCCUUCGGGUUGUAAACUGCUUUUGUACGGAACGAAAAGGUUUGGCUUAAUACGUUGAACUCAUGACGGUACCGUAAGGAUAAGCACCGGCUAACUACGUGCCAGCCGCCGCAGUAA